GAUGAACGCUGGCGGCGUGCCUAAUACAUGCAAGUCGAGCGAACAGAUGAGGAGCUUGCUCCUCUGACGUUAGCGGCGGACGGGUGAGUAACACGUGGAUAACCUCCCUAUAAGACUGGGAUAACUUCGGGAAACCGGAGCUAAUACCGGAGAAUAUAUUGAACCGCAUGGGUCAAUAGUGAAAGACGGUUUUGCUGUCACUUAUAGAUGGAUCCGCGCCGCAUUAGCUAGUUGGUAAGGUAACGGCUUACCAAGGCAACGAUGCGUAGCCGACCUGAGAGGGGGGUCGGCCACACUAGAAGUGAGACACGGUCAAGACGCCUAAGGGAGGCAGCAGUAGGGUAUCGUACGCAAUGGGCGAAAGCCUGACGGAGCGACGCCGCGUGAGUGAUGAAGGUCUUCGGAUCGUAAAACUCUGUUAUUAGGGAAGAACAAAUGUGUAAGUAAACAUGCACGUAUUGACGGUACCUAAUCAGAAAGCCACGGCUAACUACGUG
rnacentral:rRNA from 1 species